AGUGAACGCUGGCGGUAGGCCUAACACAUGCAAGUCGAACGGCAGCACAGUAAGAGCUUGCUCUUACGGGUGGCGAGUGGCGGACGGGUGAGGAAUACAUCGGAAUCUACUUUUUCGUGGGGGAUAACGUAGGGAAACUUACGCUAAUACCGCAUACGACCUACGGGUGAAAGCAGGGGCUCUUCGGACCUUGCGCGAUUGAAUGAGCCGAUGUCGGAUUAGCUAGUUGGCGGGGUAAAGGCCCACCAAGGCGACGAUCCGUAGCUGGUCUGAGAGGAUGAUCAGCCACACUGGAACUGAGACACGUUCCAGACUCCUACGGGAGGCAGCAGUGGGGAAUAUUGGACAAUGGGCGCAAGCCUGAUCCAGCCAUACCGCGUGGGUGAAGAAGGCCUUCGGGUUGUAAAGCCCUUUUGUUGGGAAAGAAAAGCAGCAGGUUAAUACCCCGCUGUUCUGACGGUACCCAAAGAAUAAGCACCGGCUAACUUCGUG
rnacentral:rRNA from 1 species